rnacentral:rRNA from 2 species
GACGAACGCUGGCGGCGUGCCUAAUACAUGCAAGUCGAACGAGCUCUCCCAAAUUGAUUUUAUGCUUGCAUAAAUGAUUUUUGGAUUCGGAGCGAGUGGCGAACUGGUGAGUAACACGUGGGUAACCUGCCCCGAAGCGGGGGAUAACAUUUGGAAACAAGUGCUAAUACCGCAUAAUUAGUUGGAACCGCAWGGUUCCAACUUGAAAGAUGGCUCUGCUAUCACUUUGGGAUGGACCCGCGCCGUAUUAGUUAGUUGGUGAGAUAAAAGCCCACCAAGACGAUGAUACGUAGCCGACCUGAGAGGGUAAUCGGCCACAUUGGGACUGAGACACGGCCCARACUCCUACGGGAGGCAGCAGUAGGGAAUCUUCCACAAUGGACGAAAGUCUGAUGGAGCAACGCCGCGUGAGUGAUGAAGGUUUUCGGAUCGUAAAACUCUGUUGUUAAAGAAGAACAAGUGUUAGAGUAACUGUUAACACUUUGACGGUAUUUAACCAGAAAGCCACGGCUAAC